rnacentral:rRNA from 1 species
GGGGAAUAUUGCGCAAUGGGCGAAAGCCUGACGCAGCGACGCCGCGUGAGGGAUGACGGCCUUCGGGUUGUAAACCUCUUUCAGCAGGGAAGAAGCGAAAGUGACGGUACCUGCAGAAGAAGCACCGGCUAACUACGUGCCAGCAGCCGCGGUAAUACGUAGGGUGCAAGCGUUGUCCGGAAUUAUUGGGCGUAAAGAGCUCGUAGGCGGCUUGUCACGUCGGAUGUGAAAACUCGGGGCUCAACCCCGAGCCUGCAUUCGAUACGGGCUAGCUAGAGUAUGGUAGGGGAGACUGGAAUUCCUGGUGUAGCGGUGAAAUGCGUAGAUAUCAGGAGGAACACCGGUGGCGAAGGCGGGUCUCUGGGCCAUAACUGACGCUGAGGAGCGAAAGCGUGGGGAGCGAA